rnacentral:rRNA from 1 species
AUGACGGCCUUCGGGUUGUAAACCCCUUUCAGCACAGACGAAGCGCAAGUGACGGUAUGUGCAGAAGAAGCACCGGCCAACUACGUGC